ensembl:lncRNA
CUUCAUUCCGCAUUCCAAGGCCAAAUUUGCCUGUUGCCCCAGUUGUGUCUUGAUUUCCUACUUUUGCAUUCCAGUCCCCUAUAAUGAAAAGGACAUCUUUUUUGGGUGUUAGUUCUAAAAGGUCUUGUAGAUCUUCAUAGAACCGUUCAACUUCAGCUUCUUCAGCUUUACUGGUUGGGGCAUAGACUUGGAUAACUGUGAUAUUGAAUGGUUUGCCUUGGAAACGCACAGAGAUUAUUCUGUCAUUUUGAGAUUGCAUCCAAGUACUGCAUUUCAGACUCUUUUGUUGACCAUGAUGGCUAUUCCAUUUCUUCUAAGGGAUUCCUGCCCACAGUAGUAGAUAUAAUGGUCAUCUGAGUUAAAUUCACCCAUUCCAGUCCAUUUUAGUUCACUGAUUCCUAGAAUGUCGACGCUCACCCUUGCCAUCUCUUGUUUGACCACUUCAAAUUUACCUUGAUUCAUGGACCUGACAUUCCAGGUUCGUAUGCAAUAUUGCUCUUUACAGCAUCGGACCUUGCUUCUCUCACCAGUCACAUCCGCAGUUGGGUACUGUUUUUGCUUUGGCUCCAUCCCUUCAUUCUUUCUGGAGUUAUUUCUCCACUGAUCUCCAGUAGCAUAUUGGGCACCUACUGACCUGGGGAGUUCCUCUUUCAGUAUCUUAUCAUUUUGCCUUUUCAUACUGUUCAUGGGGUUCUCAAGGCAAGAUUACUGAAGUGGUUUGCCAGUCCCUUCAUGGUGACAUCAAAUCCUCAUUACUAACAAAAGUGAAACUAAAGUCGCUCAGUUGUGUCCAGUCAUGAGGAUCUGAUGUAGUCGACAGUAGUAAACUU